UGUCCCCAGAUGUGCCCAAGGUGUCCCCAGGUGUGUCCCAGGUGUCCCCAGCUGUCCCCGUGUGUCCCCAGACUGGUGUCACCUGCGCGUCGGUGGCCUCGUGGUGGCCGCGGUGCUGAGCGUGCUGGGGAUCGCCGUGCUGCUCAGUGGGAAGUGCAAGUGCCGGAGCAAGGCCAGCCGCCGCCCCCCCCCGGAGCUGCCACCCCCGGCUGGGACAGGAGCCUGAGCUGUCCCCAAGUGUCCCCAGAGUGUCCCCGACAGGUGACACCGGAUGGGGGGGAGGGGCCGCGUUCAUUCCCCCAAAAUGUCCCCCAAUGUCCCCAAAUGUCCCCAAAUGUCCCCAAAAUGUCCCAAAAUGUCCCCCAAUGUUCCCAAUGUCCCCAAAUGUUCCCAAUGUCCCCAAAUGUUCCCAAUGUCCCCAAAAUGUCCCCAAUGUCCCCAAAAGUCCCUAAAUGUCCCCAAAUGUCCCCCAAUGUUCCCCAAUGUCCCCAAAUGUCCCUAAUGUCCCCUGAAUGUCCCCAAUGUCCCUGAAUGUUCCCAAUGUCCCCAAAUGUCCCCAAUAUCCCCAAAUGUGCCCAAAUGUCCCCAAAUGUCCCCAUAAUGUCCCCAAAUG